CCUGCCCGGUGCUCGAAGGUUAAUUGAUGGGGUUAGCAUUAGCGAAGCUCUUGAUCGAAGCCCGAGUAAACGGCGGCCGUAACUAUAACGGUCCUAAGGUAGCGAAAUUCCUUGUCGGUUAAAUACCGACCUGCAUGAAUGGCGUAACGAGAUGGGAGCUGUCUCAAAGAGGGAUCCAGUGAAAUUGUAGUGGAGGUGAAAAUUCCUCCUACCCGCGGCAAGACGGAAAGACCCCGUGGACCUUUACUACAGCUUGACACUGCUACUUGGAUAAGAAUGUGCAGGAUAGGUGGGAGGCUUUGAGUAUAUGACGCCAGUUGUAUAUGAGCCAUUGUUGAGAUACCACUCUUUCUUAUUUGGGUAGCUAACCAGCUUGAGUUAUCCUCAAGUGGGACAAUGUCUGGUGGGUAGUUUGACUGGGGCGG
rnacentral:rRNA from 1 species